UGCCAUGAUGGUGUAAUUUGCGUCUGACUCUGUGAUCAGUGACAGUUGCCUGCUGUCUAAUGCUGGCGCAGAGGAUUGAGACAUCUAAGACUGAGCA